UACAGAGGUCUCAAGCGUUGUUCGGAUUCAUUGGGCGUAAAGGGUGCGUAGGCGGCGCAGUAAGUCGGGUGUGAAAUCUCGGAGCUUAACUCCGAAACUGCAUUCGAUACUGCCGUGCUUGAGGACUGGAGAGGAGACUGGAAUUUACGGUGUAGCGGUGAAAUGCGUAGAUAUCGUAAGGAAGACCAGUGGCGAAGGCGGGUCUCUGGGCAGUUCCUGACACUGAGGCACGAAGGCCAGGGGAGCAAACGGG
rnacentral:rRNA from 1 species